GACGUAGGGCGCGAGCGUUGUCCGGAUUUAUUGGGCGUAAAGAGCUCGUAGGCGGCUUGUUGCGUCAGCUGUGAAAACCCGCAGCUCAACUGUGGGCUUGCAGCUGAUACGGGCAGGCUUGAGUUCGGUAGGGGAGACUGGAAUUCCUGGUGUAGCGGUGAAAUGCGCAGAUAUCAGGAGGAACACCGGUGGCGAAGGCGAGUCUCUGGACAUUUCCUGACGCUGAGGCACGAAAGCCAGGGGAGCAAACGGG
rnacentral:rRNA from 1 species